UCUCUCUCUCUCUCUCUCUCUCUCUCUUCUUUUUAUUAUUCUUUUCUACUCUCUCUUUCUCUCUAUUUUUUUCCUUCACCGACGAAGCAUUCGACCUCAGCAAUAGACGGCCGCGAUUUCUCCAUUCUUUCGGCCCUUUUCGCAGAAUUAAGUACCAGCUUCUUUGACGUUUUUCCUUUUAAGCAAUUCUAUCGCGCCCGAUUCUCUACUUGGCAUCGAUUUUAACGCGAACCUAUCCAUCUACCUACCAACAUCAGUUUCAAGAUUUGGAAUCUUUCUGCGUCGUAUUAAUUAUUCCUUCGUGUUUCGUGAAACACAAACCGUCCAUUGAAAUGAAUAAAUAUGAUUGGUUUUACGGUUAUCCAAUGUUGUGUAACGCACACACAUAUGUACAGUGAAUGCUGGAUAUCGUCGAAUCGUGCGCUGAUAUUGACUACUGCGAGUUACUCUAUUACUAAUACUACUAUCGCUACUACACUUCUCUAUUCACGAGCACUAUUCUUUUGCAUCCGGUUUGCUUGUUGUUUCAUUUUCGCGACCCCUAGUUUACUCUGCAGUGUCGGCAUAACAAUGAAAGCGAAAAAAAUCGGAAAUAAAGUGAGAGAAACGAGGUGGAAGGGAAAGAAAGAGAUAGCCAUUGUUUCCGGUAACUCUUUCGCGGUAACGAGGAGGAACCUCAAUUAGAACGGUUUGAGGACUUAAACGCCCAGAGGCUGCCGGGUUUUAAGAGGCAAGGAUGCAGUAACGUCGACAUGGAAGCAUUGUUUCUCCGAGCAAUAAUGCAAACGAUACCCUAAGCGCGUGAAAGAUGUUGUGAUUCUCUCUUAACACUCGCUGUUGCAAACUAUGACGUAUCAUGAAAUACAUUCCAGAAUCCAAGACGUACGAACUUUAUGCCUGGAUACAUCAAUUCUUACUGUAUUCAUUUACAAGCUCGAUAAAUAACGAAAACAGGAUCUCAUCCAUCUCAUGCUUGGUGCCCUGAUUGAAAAGAAAGUCUGUAUUUUGAAGCUCGAUAUGGUGUGGCCAGCAGUAACCAUAAAUCAUCUGGAAAUCCUGUUACCCUGUCGUCGCGAAAACGCCAGGGGUGUUUUCAGAGUACAAAGGAUACAAAACCGAGGAGAGUUUCUCCAGUUUACGUUUCUGAGUUAUAGCUCCCUGGUGUUACAAAUGCUUCUGGCGCCACUCUCUUGACGAAUGACAGGACAUUGACGAGCACGAAGGGAAGGAUACGAAGGAAAUCGAGAUAAUCGCGUGGAAAGAUGUUAUACGUCACGAGAGCAAGUUUUUCCCUACAUGAGGUCCUGAUCUAUAGAAUAUUUUCCAUACGACGAGAGUGUUUUUAGUUCUCUACCACGUUAAAAAAUAUUCUUCUUUAUGGUAUCCUGAUACACCGAAUAUUUCUUGGAUAUAAAUUUGUUCUAGAACGUCAAUAAAAUGUAAGAUUAUAAGAAAUUGAAUGUUUAGCAACAC